CAACACUGCUGAUACAGAGAAACAACAACGGCUUCAGAUUGCUGCUGACACUUAUUAAAGGGGAAUUUUACUCAUUUACACAUGGACGUUUUUAAUAAAGUGUUACCAUGUAGUCACUUGCCAUUGACUGUAAGUUAAUGUGAUAAUCUUAUUCACACACAUUUCCACUGUGCCCUAAAUCCAUGCUGUUUUCAACAACACAAAUAUGGACUCAAAGAACGUUACAUACAAAAAAAUAUAUAUAAUAUUUAGUGUAGAGACUUAGAGGAAUUCUAAUAUAUUACAUGAGUUUGUAGUGCUUUGGGUGCAGAGUACUCGAAUAAAAUGAACAACAUUAUGGAUAUUUCUUGGGCUGGAGAUUAUGGUACAAUUAUUUAGUGUUAUUAUCCAUUAUUGGAUAAUUCCACACACACUUCACACAGUGUUGAGCGUUGCCUGGGUUAUUUGAGGGAAUGAACAUCGCGCUCAGAGUGCUCUGAUUGAUGUUGCAAUAAUACCAUGUUGAGGUAAGAUUAAUCAAACCUCUGGAUUUUUAUGAUCAUGAGGAUAUCCGUGUACAAGAAUCACGUGUGUCAAACAGAUACGAUUAUGGAAAAGACUAUGAAAACAUUGGCACAUCCCUGACACUUUCUAAAACCCUUUACAGGUACAUAAUUAAUAGUAAUGUAAUGAAACAAAAUAUGUUUUGGGGAUCAAGUACAGACAAAGACGAGGUAAGUUAAAUUCCCUGUAAACUGCACAGCCGACCCACUGCCUCAGAUUUCUUCAUUGAAGCAUCAUAACUCUAAUUCAUACUCAAUCCAUUGAUACAAUAAUCAAUAUCAACAUGGCGUGGAUAACAAACAAUGCACAAUCCUUGAAAGGACAUGUUGAUAGCAGCAGGUACUCUGGUGAUCCACGGGAAAAACACAAAAAAAAACAUGACAAAUAACCAACCACUCAAACACUAACAGACCAGAACGAAUGGAGUGACACUGAAACAGGUUUGAAGUGACCCGUUUACCUGGAAGUGGUUUUACAGGAUGUCCAUAUACAAGAACUGAGGCAUGACUUGAAAUUCUGAGUGUUUAAUUUAUCCAUUUAGAAU
ensembl:lncRNA